rnacentral:rRNA from 1 species
CAGUCGAACGGAGUUAUCAUUUUUGAAGCGAUUAGCUUGCUAAGAGUGGAACAGUUGAUAACUUAGUGGCGGACGGGUGAGUAACGCGUGGGUAACCUGCCUUACACAGGGGGAUAACACUUAGAAAUAGGUGCUAAUACCGCAUAAGCGCACAGUCCCGCAUGGGACAGAGUGAAAAACAUUAGUGGUGUAAGAUGGACCCGCGUCUGAUUAGCUUGUUGGCGGAGUAACGGCCCACCAAGGCGACGAUCAGUAGCCGGCCUGAGAGGGUGGACGGCCACAUUGGGACUGAGACACGGCCCAAACUCCUACGGGAGGCAGCAGUGGGGGAUAUUGGACAAUGGGGGAAACCCUGAUCCAGCGACGCCGCGUGAGUGAAGAAGUAUUUCGGUAUGUAAAGCUCUAUCAGCAGGGAAGAAAGAAAUGACGGUACCUGAGUAAGAAGCCCCGGCUAACUACGUGCCAGCAGCCGCGGUAAUACGUAGGGGGCAAGCGUUAUCCGGAAUUACUGGGUGUAAAGGGAGCGUAGACGGUAAUGCAAGUCUGGAGUGAAAGGCGGGGGCCCAACCCCCGGACUGCUCUGGAAACUGUGUAACUGGAGUGCAGGAGAGGCAGGCGGAAUUCCUAGUGUAGCGGUGAAAUGCGUAGAUAUUAGGAGGAACACCAGUGGCGAAGGCGGCCUGCUGGACUGUAACUGACGUUGAGGCUCGAAAGCGUGGGGAGCAAACAGGAUUAGAUACCCUGGUAGUCCACGCCGUAAACGAUGAUUACUAGGUGUGGGUGGGUAUGGACCCAUCGGUGCCGCAGCAAACGCA